rnacentral:siRNA from 1 species
UUUGUAGCCUCUUUGAUGUACUUG